rnacentral:rRNA from 1 species
CCUACGGGCGGCAGCAGUGGGGAAUAUUGGACAAUGGGCGAAAGCCUGAUCCAGCCAUGCCGCGUGUGUGAAGAAGGCCUUCGGGUUGUAAAGCACUUUCAGUGGGGAAGAAAGCCUUGGGGCUAAUACCCUCGAGGAAGGACAUCACCCACAGAAGAAGCACCGGCUAACUCCGUGCCAGCAGCCGCGGUAAUACGGAGGGUGCGAGCGUUAAUCGGAAUUACUGGGCGUAAAGCGCGCGUAGGCGGUCUGAUAAGCCGGUUGUGAAAGCCCCGGGCUCAACCUGGGAACGGCAUCCGGAACUGUCAGGCUAGAGUGCGGGAGAGGAAGGUAGAAUUCCCGGUGUAGCGGUGAAAUGCGUAGAGAUCGGGAGGAAUACCAGUGGCGAAGGCGGCCUUCUGGACUGACACUGACGCUGAGGUGCGAAAGCGUGGGUAGCAAACAGGAUUAGAUACCCUUGUAGUC